AUGCCUGAGGGCAUAAAUGAUACAGUGAUUGUGCUCAUCCCGAAAGGAAAUAACCCCCAAUCUUUGAAGGAUUUCCGCCCCAUAAGCUUGUGUAACGUUAUAUAUAAGGUGAUUUCAAAAUGUUUGGUGAAUCGCCUUAGACCCUUGUUGGAUGGAUUGAUCUCUGAGACCCAGAGCGCUUUUGUUCCCGGAAGA
rnacentral:rRNA from 1 species